UAUGUUGAUUGGCAAUUUGGAUGGUUUCUUGGGAUCUAUUGCAAUGCAUAUAUCUCUGUUAACCCUUUUUUUUUCCUUCUAAUAAUUACAUAGAAAUUAUACCUUUUGUCCUCGACUGAAAUUCUCAAUAUUGAGAUUUGCAAAACUUUGGUUGCACAAACUUGGGAGUUCCCGGAGGGGACGCGGGAGAAGUAUUGCUAUGAGAUUAAGUGUGAGAGACUCAUUGGAGGAGUUAUUCUAUUGCAUGAUAUGAAAUGGGACAAGUCAAUAUAAUCACUGGUAUCAACUAUCAACCACUACAGAAGAGCUAAUUGCAGCAUCAAUAUCUGGGAUCCAAAGAACUGAUUAGAAGAUGGCAGAAGGUGAGGGUAUUCAGCCUUUGUGUGUGACAAUGAAGCUGGAAUCAAGGUUGAUUUGACGGAGAUGAUGUCCCAAGAGAUGUCUUCCCUAGCAUUGUUGGGUGCCUUUGUCACACCAGAGUGAUGGUCGGCAUGGAUAUAUGUUGGAGAGAGGUAUUUUGACUCUGAAGUACCUAUUGAACAUGGAAUGAUGGAAUUGUGAGCAACUGGGAUGACAGGAGGAAAUCUGGCAUCAUACCUUUCUACAGAGAUCACCCAGGCCUUACAGAAGCUCCUCUUGACCCCAAGGCUAAUCAUGAGAAAAUGAUGCAAAUCUCUUGUUUGAGACAUUCAAUGCCCCUGUGGUGUAUGUUACAUUGCUAUUCAGGCCACCCUUUCCCUCUAUGACAGUGGCUGUACAUCUGGUAAGCAUUAUCGUUAUAUUUUUUGACUUUAACUUUAUGUAUGUAUGGACUCCAUACAUACUGAAAUGAGGAUUUAGACUAUAAUGUUAAGUUGGUUAUCAGACAUCCAUUUUCAAAUUUUCUUGAGAAAAUGGGUUAAAUGUAGGAUAGAGAUGUACUUACUCUUCAGGUGCUAGUGUGGUACUAAUCAAACUUACUAUGAAAUCAAAAGUUAAUUAUGUGGCUGCCA